UACGAAGGGGGCUAGCGUUGCUCGGAAUUACUGGGCGUAAAGGGCGCGUAGGCGGACAGUUUAGUCAGAGGUGAAAGCCCAGGGCUCAACCUUGGAAUUGCCUUUGAUACUGGGCAUCUUGAGUAUGGGAGAGGUGAGUGGAACUCCGAGUGUAGAGGUGAAAAUUCGUAGAUAUUCGGAAGAACACCAGUGGCGAAGGCGACUCACUGGCCCAUUACUGACGCUGAGGCGCGAAAAGCGUGGGGAGCAAACAGGG
rnacentral:rRNA from 1 species